rnacentral:rRNA from 1 species
GCGACCCCAGGGUAGGCCGGAAUACCCCGUUAAGUUUAACCUUAUCAA